UAUGGCUCAGAUUGAACGCUGGCGGCAGGCCUAACACAUGCAAGUCGAACGGUAACAGGAAGCAGCUUGCUGCUUUGCUGACGAGUGGCGGACGGGUGAGUAAUGUCUGGGAAACUGCCUGAUGGAGGGGGAUAACUACUGGAAACGGUAGCUAAUACCGCAUAACGUCGCAAGACCAAAGAGGGGGACCUUAGGGCCUCUUGCCAUCGGAUGUGCCCAGAUGGGAUUAGCUAGUAGGUGGGGUAACGGCUCACUUAGGCGACGAUCCCUAGCUGGUCUGAGAGGAUGACCAGCCACACUGGAACUGAGACACGGUCCAGACUCCUACGGGAGGCAGCAGUGGGGUAUAUUGCACAAUGGGCGCAAGCCUGAUGCAGCCAUGCCGCGUGUAUGAAGAAGGCCUUCGGGUUGUAAAGUACUUUCAGCGGGGAGGAAGGGAGUAAAGUUAAUACCUUUGCUCAUUGACGUUACCCGCAGAAGAAGCACCGGCUAACUCCGUGCCAGCAGCCGCGGUAAUACGGAGGGUGCAAGCGUUAAUCGGAAUUACUGGGCGUAAAGCGCACGCAGGCGGUUUGUUAAGUCAGAUGUGAAAUCCCCGGGUGGUAGUCCACGCCGUAAACGAUGUCGACCUGGAGGUUGUGCCCUUGAGGCGUGGCUUCCGGAGUUAACGCGUUAAGUCGACCGCCUGGGGAGUACGGCCGCAAGGUUAAAACUCAAAUGAAUUGACGGGGGCCCGCACAAGCGGUGGAGCAUGUGGUUUAAUUCGAUGCAACGCGAAGAACCUUACCUGGUCUUGACAUCCACGGAAGUUUUCAGAGAUGAGAAUGUGCCUUCGGGAACCGUGAGACAGGUGCUGCAUGGCUGUCGUCAGCUCGUGUUGUGAAAUGUUGGGUUAAGUCCCGCAACGAGCGCAACCCUUAUCCUUUGUUGCCAACGGUCCGGCCGGGAACUCAAAGGAGACUGCCAGUGAUAAACUGGAGGAAGGUGGGGAUGACGUCAAGUCAUCAUGGCCCUUACGACCAGGGCUACACACGUGCUACAAUGGCGCAUACAAAGAGAAGCGACCUCGCGAGAGCAAGCGGACCUCAUAAAGUGCGUCGUAGUCCGGAUUGGAGUCUGCAACUCGACUCCAUGAAGUCGGAAUCGCUAGUAAUCGUGGAUCAGAAUGCCACGGUGAAUACGUUCCCGGGCCUUGUACACACCGCCCGUCACACCAUGGGAGUGGGUUGCAAAAGAAGUAGGUAGCUUAACCUUCGGGAGGGCGCUUACCACUUUGUGAUUCAUGACUGGGGUGAAGUCGUAACAAGG
rnacentral:rRNA from 1 species